UGGAUGCUGCGAGGAAAGUCCUCGUGCCUUGGUGCAGAGAGUGCAUGUGGGAGCCCGCAGGGCCCGUACCGAACCUCCAGUGGUGAUGCUUCUCGCGGAGCCGUGGUGGCGGGUUUGAGUCCUUCGCAGCAGCACAGACGUGCAGUGAGCGCUUGCCAUGUGAGCGCCAACAGAACGGGGCUCACUCUC
rnacentral:RNase_MRP_RNA from 1 species